rnacentral:rRNA from 1 species
CCUACGGGAGGCAGCAGUGGGGAAUAUUGCACAAUGGGGGAAACCCUGAUGCAGCGACGCCGCGUGAGUGAAGAAGUAUUUCGGUACGUAAAGCUCUAUCAGCAGGGAAGAAAAUGACGGUACCUGACUAAGAAGCCCCGGCUAACUACGUGCCAGCAGCCGCGGUAAUACGUAGGGGGCAAGCGUUAUCCGGAUUUACUGGGUGUAAAGGGAGCGUAGACGGCAGCGCAAGUCUGGAGUGAAAUCCCAUGGCUUAACCAUGGAACUGCUUUGGAAACUGUGCAGCUAGAGUGCAGGAGAGGUAAGCGGAAUUCCUAGUGUAGCGGUGAAAUGCGUAGAUAUGAGGAGGAACACCAGUGGCGAAGGCGGCUUACUGGACUGUAACUGACGUUGAGGCUCGAAAGCGUGGGGAGCAAACAGGAUUAGAUACCCGAGUAGUC